UACAUGGGGUGCAAACGUUGCUCGGAAUUACUGGGCGUAAAGCGCACGUAGGCGGUUCGUUAUGUCGGAUGUGAAAGCCCUUGGCUUAACCGAGGAAGUGCAUCCGAAACUGGCGAGCUAGAGUACGAAAGAGGAUCGCGGAAUUCCCGGUGUAGAGGUGAAAUUCGUAGAUAUCGGGAGGAACACCGGUGGCGAAGGCGGCGAUCUGGGUCGAUACUGACGCUGAGGUGCGAAAGCGUGGGGAGCAAACAGGG
rnacentral:rRNA from 1 species